AGUGAACGCUGGCGGUAGGCCUAACACAUGCAAGUCGAACGGCAGCACAGUAAUAGCUUGCUCUUACGGGUGGCGAGUGGCGGACGGGUGAGGAAUACAUCGGAAUCUACUUUUUCGUGGGGGAUAACGUAGGGAAACUUAAGCUAAUACCGCAUACGACCUACGGGUGAAAGCAUGGGAUCUUCUGACCUUGCGCGAUUGAAUGAGCCGAUGUUGGAUUAGCUAGUUGGCGGGGUAAAUGCCCACCAAGGCGACGAUCGGUAGCUGGUCUGAGAGGAUGAUAAGCCACACGGGAGCGUGGACACGGUCCUGACUCCUACGGGAGGGAGCAGUGUGGUAUAUUAGACAAUAGGCGCAAACCUGAUCCAGCCAUACCGCGUGGGUGGAGAAGGCCUUCGGUGUGUAAAGCCCUUUUGUUGGGAAAGAAAAGCAGCAGGUUAAUACCCCGCUGGACUGACGGUACCCAAUGAAUAAGCACCGGCUAACUUCGUG
rnacentral:rRNA from 1 species